GAUGAACGCUGACAGAAUGCUUAACACAUGCAAGUCAACUUGAACUUCGGUUUGGGUGGCGGCCGGGUGAGUAACGCGUACAGAACUUGCCUCACAGCUAGGGACAACAUUUGGAAACGAAUGCUAAUACCUGAUAUUAUGAUUAUAUGGCAUCGUAUAAUUAUGAAAGCUAUAUGCGCUGUGAGAGAGCUUUGCGUCCCAUUAGCUAGUUGGAGAGGUAACAGCUCACCAAGGCGAUGAUGGGUAGCCGGCCUGAGAGGGUGAUCGGCCACAAGGGGACUGAGACACGGCCCGUACGCCUACGGGAGGCAGCAGUGGGGAAUAUUGGACAAUGGACCGAGAGUCUGAUCCAGCAAUUCGGUGUGCACGAUGAAGUUUUUCGGAAUGUAAAGUGCUUUCAGUUGGGAAGAAAAAAAUGACGGUACCAACAGAAGAAGUGACGGCUAAAUACGUG
rnacentral:rRNA from 1 species